UACGGAGGGUGCAAGCGUUGUUCGGAUUUAUUGGGCGUAAAGCGCGUGUAGGCGGUCUUCUAAGUCUGAUGUGAAAGCCCUGGGCUCAACCCAGGAAGUGCAUUGGAUACUGGAAGACUUGAAUACGGGAGAGGGUAGUGGAAUUCCUAGUGUAGGAGUGAAAUCCGUAGAUAUUAGGAGGAACACCGGUGGCGAAGGCGGCUACCUGGACCGAUAUUGACGCUGAGACGCGAAAGCGUGGGGAGCAAACGGG
rnacentral:rRNA from 1 species